UACGGAGGGGGGCUAGCGUUGUUCGGAAUUACUGGGCGAAAGGGCGCGCAGGCGGCUGCUCAAGUCAGGCGUGAAAGGCCUGGGCUCAACCCGGGGAAUUGCGCUUGAGACUGGGCUGGCUUGAGUGCGGGAGAGGAUGGUGGAAUUCCCAGUGUAGAGGUGAAAUUCGUAGAUAUUGGGAAGAACACCGGUGGCGAAGGCGGC
rnacentral:rRNA from 1 species